rnacentral:misc_RNA from 1 species
GGAACAACUAGCUGCCGUGGAUGGACUUUGUGCUCUCGUUUCAAAGGCUGUUGGAGAGUUGGACUCUGUAAGGACUUACCAUGUGAACCUCUCUGUUUUCACAUCAAUCCCAGAUUUCUGGGGUAUCGACCAGCUGUUUCCUAUUGUCCCCAUUCAUCGUCUUGAUCAGAGACCAUCAGUGAGAGGCGUGCUGUCUGAUCUUACCUGUGACAGUGAUGGUAAGAUUGAUAAGUUCAUCGGUGGUGAGUCGAGUUUGCCGUUGCAUGAGCUGGAAGGCAACGGCAAUUUGUCAGGUGGAGGAGGUGGGCGAUACUAUCUUGGGAUGUUUCUGGGCGGGGCUUAUGAGGAGGCUCUCGGUGGUGUUCACAACCUGUUUGGUGGCCCAAGUGUGGUUCGGGUGAUGCAGAGUGAUGGACCGCAUAGCUUUGCGGUGACUCGCACUGUGCCUGGGCCAUCAUGUGGGGAUGUCCUCCGAGUGAUGCAGCAC